rnacentral:misc_RNA from 1 species
UUAACUUAUUAUAUAGUACUCAGACGACACUAAACACAGAGUUGGGGUCCUCUGGCAGGCGCACCUCAGCCGGAGCCGAGAGCCCGAAGGCGGCCUGCCAAAGCAACAAGAGUAAAUAACACAGGGUGGGAGGUCUACCCGUGAGGGCAUGAUCUCUGUAAUGAUCCUUCCGCUGGUUCACCAACGGAAA